CCACAGUAUUAUAAAUAUAUCUAUUCCUGGAAUCCCCAUGCAAUAUUAAGGCCAAUAUUUAAUACUGGAAGAGAAGGAGCAGCAGCAGGAGAAGCAGGAGCUGGAGCACUAUAGAACAGCAGCCCCCAACCUUUUGGACACCAGGGACCAGUUCCAUGGAGAAAGGGAACUCUGCACUACUGAGAUUGCAUUCACAGUUGCCAUUGUCAUAUUCACAUAUCUCUUGACAUCUGAAUAUCUUGAAUGUUUAGGAAAGAAUGUUUUCAACAUGGCAAGCAAGUCUGGGGCUUUGCAACUGUACUACUCUUUGCCAAGUAGA